rnacentral:lncRNA from 1 species
UCUUGUGCGCAGGUCCAAAGAGCAAAAGCCCGCCAAAAAGUCACCAGUCCAUCUCCCAGGGCACUAGCCGAACCCCUGAGGGCUAUAGCCUGUCCCCAGGGUGCAUGAGAAUCCCGAGUUAAGCUACCAGUCCUAGUUAAACACGUCACACCUUAGGGUAUAUAAGCCACACACGUUUCUGAGCCUUCUUUGUCUACCUCAUUAUGUUGUGAAAUAAAGUAACCACGGAAGGAUCUGUGUGUCCUGUGUGUGUUACUGCGGGCAGGGACAAAGCUCAGGAUAGUUGGUGCUUGGAACCCGGGAAUACGCCUUACCAAUGCGCCCAGAGAGAAGACCCUCCGACCAACCGGAGCAGAUUCAGAACCUUGGUGGAUUCAGCUCCGAGAGGAUACUGGUACGUGACUUUAAUCCUUCUUAAUCCCUCCUCUUAACUUGAAGGUGGCACUGAAAGCCUUUUGUUCUCGUGCUGGCUGUGUUAACCCUAUUUCUUCUGGUUUUAUCCUGCGCUCACCAGAAAUGGUGCUGAAAAAUUUUGACUGUUGUUAAGCACGGUCAGAUGGACGUAUAUAAGCCGCAGUGCUUGUCCCAUAUUUAAGCCUCUCCUGUAGAUAAAGGAGCAGUAUGGGAACUUCACAUUCUGUGAUUACAGCGCUCCGGUCUGUGUUAAAGCAGCGUGAGAUAAAAAUCUCUACAAGAACCUUAGAAACAUUCAUCAGGGAAAUUGAACGUAUAUCACCUUGGUACGAGUGUUCAGGGUCGUUAACUCUUUCCUCUUGGGAGAAAUUAAGGGAAGACUUAGCUAAGGAACAACAGAAUGGGAAAUUAAAGGCAGGGACCAUGCCGUUAUGGAAACUGGUAAGAUCGUGCCUGGAGGAUGAGAGAUGCCGUCCAGCAAUAAUAACAGGACAAGGGGUAUUGGAAGAACUACAAGACAGUAUGCCAGAAACGGAGCAGUGUGAUAGGUUAAGAGCUCAAAAAAGGAAAAAUGUGCACAAGAAGCAAAGCCCUUCCAAAGACCUUGAGUCUGAGGAAGUGAAAAAUUUGGGAAUAAAUUCCCAGGGAG